rnacentral:tRNA from 3 species
GCCCUGUUAGCUCAGUUGGCAGAGCAGCUGACUCUUAAUCAGCGGGUCAUAGGUUCGAGUCCUAUACAGGGCA